rnacentral:rRNA from 1 species
GAUGAGACAUCUUUUAAGGGUCGUGGGAGAUGACCACGUUGAUAGGCUACAGGUGUAAAGUUGGUAACAGCAUAGCCGAGUAGUACUAAUUACCCGUAGAUUUAUAGCCU